rnacentral:tRNA from 3 species
GGGGCGGUAGCUCAAUUGGUUAGAGUACCGGCUUGUCACGCCGGUGGUUGCGGGUUCGAUUCCCGUCCGCCUCG